UGGGGAAUAUUGCACAAUGGGCGAAAGCCUGAUGCAGCAACGCCGCGUGAGUGAUGAAGGCCUUCGGGUUGUAAAGCUCUGUCUUUUGGGACGAUAAUGACGGUACCAAAGGAGGAAGCCACGGCUAACUACGUGCCAGCAGCCGCGGUAAUACGUAGGUGGCAAGCGUUGUCCGGAUUUACUGGGCGUAAAGGAUGCGUAGGCGGGAUAGUCAGUCUGUUGUAAAAGUGCGGGGCUCAACCCCGUGAUCGCAAUGGAAACAGCUAUUCUUGAGUGCAGGAGAGGAAAGUGGAAUUCCCAGUGUAGCGGUGAAAUGCGUAGAUAUUGGGAGGAACACCAGUGGCGAAGGCGACUUUCUGGACUGUGUCUGACGCUGAGGCGCGAAAGCCAGGGGAGCGAACGGGAUUAGAUACCCCGGUAGUCCUGGCCGUAAACGAUGAGUACUAGGUGUAGGAGGUAUCGACCCCUUCUGUGCCGCAGUUAACACAAUAAGUACUCCGCCUGGAAGUACGAUCGCAAGAUUAAAACUCAAAGGAAUUGACGGGGUCAUAGCUGUUUCCU
rnacentral:rRNA from 1 species